AACCACGCUCUUAUAGUCUACUACUUGCUGAUUGUUCAAUUGCAUGACUUUUUGUUUGUCCUAAAUUCAACAUCGCAUGCCUAACUGUGAUGACCCGGCCCGUCAUAUCAUGAGUUACCAUCCCAUUUCCCCCAUUUAAUACUUCUUCAUGUGUCAUUAUCGAUAUUUGGUAUGUUAGAGAUAAUUCAAAUUGGUUAUGGUAGGAAAUGUGAUACUUAGUCUCUUUAAGGAAGACUUAUUUUGGAAAAGUCAACUAGAUGUUGACUUAUGAGUUAGAAAGAUCGGAUAUGAUUUUCAGUGAUUUGGUUAGCUUCAGGAUAUGAUUUGUGACUUAGGAGCGUGAUCAGAACUAAUUUUAGAGGUCCAGUGUAGAAUUAGGCUUGAAUCGAUGAUAUUAGUGUUUUGGCGAUUGCUGCUUGUUAAGUGAUAUUUUGAUACGAGGGUCAGAAUGGGUUCCGAGAGUUGUUGUAGCUUCGUUAGCUGAUUCGGGAUUUGUGUGCACAAUUUCAGAUGAUUAACCGGUGUUUUGGUCGGGUUUUUGAUCUUAUACGUAUUUUGAAAGUUUUAGAAGAACUUAGGCUUGACUCCGAUGCAAUUUGACGGUUUUGAUGUUGUUUGUGGGUUUUUGAGGAUUGGAACAAGUUUGAAUGAUGUUUUAGGAUGGGUUGGCACUUUUGGUUGAGGUCCCGGGGACCUCAGGGUGAUUUCGGAUGGCCAUCGAGAUGAAUUUUGGACUUGUGAGAUUGCUGGUAUUGCUAGUAUAUUGUAUUUCCGCAUCUGCAAGAAAGGGGACAUAUAUGCGGCUCCGCAGAUGCGGUAAGGGAGUCACAGGCGCGGUUUUUGGUCUGGAGGCAGCUUUCGCGGAAGCGGACGGUGGUACGUUCACCGCAAAAGCGGUCCUGGCAUAUUAGUGAGUUCCGCAGAAGCGGAUGAAAACCGCAUAAGAGGUAGUCGCAUAUGC
rnacentral:lncRNA from 1 species